CAGCGCCGGGGCUCGGGCCAGCCGCCCUGUCUGGGCCAGAGCUGCAGGAGACACGGAGAUUAGGGCUGGGGGUGAGGGUGUCGGUAGCCAGAACCUCGUAGCACCGAUGGGACAAACCCAGUGCCAGCACAAACCACUCCGCUCCCCCACCCCCCAGAGCGUUUUCGCAAACAACCGUGUCCCUGUGCCACAGGCAGCAGGGACCAAAAAGGCAAGAGACCCUUCUCUGUCCCGAUCGAAACUGGAGGUGCUUCUCCAACACGUCAUGCUUUUGGGUUUGGGAUACCUGGGAUGGGCUCUGUAGGGUCCCUAUGAGAGAAGCUGGAAUUAGCCAUGCCUUAAACCCGAAGAGAAGAGCGGAAGCAACCCUGCCAUGCAUGCUAGCAGUAAUUUCCAGUCCACAUAUUCAUGGAGGGCACUGUGAAAGGUGAUGAAGAAAUCCAGAGUCAUAGUUGCUCCAGAACUAUUUGCAGACAAGUUAUAUUUUAAGAGUCAGAACUUCUGCUGGAAAUUAUUUCAGGGGCAAAAAAAUAGAAGUUUACUGAAGAUUAGUGGAUCUCAUAGAGCUGGAUACACCAAAUCUCAGCACCCUUCUCCCAGACACAGAAACAGAUCAAGUGCUCAAUGGCUCAGGGCUCAGGCUUCCAUCCUGCAUCAAUGGCUAAUUAAUUAGACAAUGCAUAGAAAAACACCUUUAAAAACAAAAAAAAAAGCACAAAAAGACCCACACAGAUCUGUAGUUGAGAAGGCCUCAAAUGGCUUCAGAAAGAAACGGAACCUGAGCCUAGCUCCUUCUCACCCUUGGUGAGCAUCCUAGCGCUAUGGAAUGACCCAGCAGGAGUCCUCCCAGGCAAGUUGUCUGAGACCUGGGCUAGAUUCAUGCUUCCUGAAAUGUUUAGUAACACGAUAAAUAGUGCAGCUGCUUACCGACAGAUUAAAACGUACGUGUUUAAGGCUGUGCCAGAAAACUGAUAGAGUAACACUCCUUAAAGAUGUGUGGGUGCCCUGGGGCACAGUUUGGUUCAGAUCUCAGCUGAGAAGGAAUUCUGAAGACGUGUUUGUGGAGAGAGGUGGAAAAGUGGUGGUGCUCCUGUGAUUGCCUCCACAGAUGCACAGAAAGACUGGUGUGGGAUCCAAUUCAUUUAAACACUGCUUAGCUGGGAUGAAAACAGACAGGAGAUCCUGACAGUGCCCUACUCCUGCUGGCAUGCAUUGCUUACACACCUACUCACAAUCCUUUGCACCACAGUUAAGGUUUGACACUUAGUUUUGGCUGCCUC
rnacentral:lncRNA from 1 species